UACGUAGGGUCCGAGCGUUGUCCGGAAUUAUUGGGCGUAAAGGGUUCGUAGGCGGUUCGUCACGUCGGGAGUGAAAACUCGGAGCUUAACUCCGAGCCUGCUUCCGAUACGGGCAGACUAGAGGUAGGCAGGGGAGAGCGGAACUCCUGGUGUAGCGGUGGAAUGCGCAGAUAUCAGGAAGAACACCCGUGGCGAAGGCGGCUCUCUGGGCCGUACCUGACGCUGAGGCGCGAAGGCUAGGGGAGCGAACGGG
rnacentral:rRNA from 1 species